GACGAACGCUGGCGGCGUGCCUAAUACAUGCAAGUAGGACGCAGUUGCGAACGGGUGAGUAACGCGUCGGUAACUCACUAUUAGAGGGGGCUAACUAUUGGAAACGAUAGCUAAUACCGCAUACUAGUAGAUGGACCUGCGUUGUAUUCGCUAGUAGGUAGGGUAAUGGGCUACCUAGGCAACGAUACAUAGCCGAGCUGGGAGGGUGAACUGCCACACUGGGACUGAGGCACGGCCCAUACUCCUACGGGAGGCAGCAGUAGGGAAACUUCGGCAAUGGGGGGAACCCUGACCGCGCAACGCCGCGGGAGUGAAGAAGGUUUUCGGAUCGUAAAGCUCUGUUGUUAAGGAAGCGGUACUUAACCAGAAAGGGACGGCUAACUACGUGCCAGCAGCCGCGGUAAUAC
rnacentral:rRNA from 1 species